ensembl:lincRNA 1010001N08Rik RIKEN cDNA 1010001N08 gene
UCUUAGCGGGCCAAGGACUGGAAAUGAACACUGGCGGGGUUAUCAGUGCCGAUCUGUCAGCAGCAAGUCGCGCACUGCUUGUCCCAGGCAGCAGCAGUGAUAUACGUCUUAUUCCUUUGAGCUCACAAAAGGGAUUUCUUUCGACAAGCUGGACAUUGGAAGAAGGCUGCGAGAAGGGAAUUGAACAUGAGAAACACUCUUGUGGGAGUGGAUUCUUACAGGAACACCCCAGUCAUUGUGGCUUCUGCGUGGCUGCAUUUAUGAAAGGCUGGAAGUAGAAAACUCUGGAAUGGAGAGACUAGCAGCUGGAACAGGAUUCAAAGGCUUUAAAUUUUAACCCGAGUUCGAUCGAAAGUUACUACCACAAGAGACUGGCACGGGCCGGCCCAAUUCCCACCACGGCUUCCAGCGGCUUGCUUUGGGUUGUCCGGUAAGUUCCAACCAAAUUUUUAAGCGGGUUGGGUUCUGCGAAGUUCAUUUGUAAGCAAUUCAUUAAAGCUUCGGACAUCGCUUUUUCAUUUGAGUCCAAUUUUCCGAAAUAAUGUCUCCAGUUUGCUCUUAAAAGCAAUUUUUACAGUUCGUAUUUGCUAAUAAAAUAAUAAAUGACUUGGCUAACUAAAUUUGGCGUCCUGGCUGUGAACGACCUUCAAGGUUGAGGAACAUCGAGCUCCGACGCGAGCCUAGUUCCAGUCCUGGGGGGGGGGGGGGGCUUUGUUUUGUUUUGUUGUUCGAGGGGUUAUCCUGUGUAAAUUUCCUGGAACAAUAGCAAACCCCUACUGCUCUGCUUUCCUGAAGCUAGGCGUCGAAGACUAGAGAACACACUGACCCUGGCGCCUCUGGGACAGAGGUGAGGAGUUCGACCCAAACGAACAGAUUCGACAACAUUCGGACUCUAGAGGCUGGGGAAGAAACCCAUAAUUUUACCGUCCUCAUUCCCAAUCAUUUUAGUAGUGCCUCCAACCACAAGAAAACCGAUAGAUCAUUGUUUUUCCUUUCAGGGCUCAAAAUUCACCUUUUAAACUUUUUUUAAAGACUAGCUUUCCGAAAGAGGAAUAGGUUAGAGAAAUAUUUUUUUUCCAUCUCAGUUAAUGUAAAAAUAAAACCUGUCCGGUUGACUAAGACAAAAACCUAGACUGCUUGCAGACUCUAAUUUGUUUUGGGUUUUUUUCUGGACUCACGGACUCUGGCGACGACACCCCAGCCUAGCAAGCAAAGGCACAUUUCAAAGCCCUCCCCUAUCGGCCUCAGGCUGGACUCUCCAGGGAAAUGGAAGCCAGCAGAAUCCGGGGUGCGGAGGGGAAGGUGGCACACCAACCUAGGGGAACCCCAAAAUGAAGAUGGUCCCCAUCAUGCCCCAAAUAACUCCUGGAAGUUUCUUUCUUAGUGUUUUUCUUCUGUUUUGUUUCUUUCUUUUCAACUCCUUUUCUCUUGUCCCCUCCUGUCUUUCCCAAGCUGGCUUUGCUAGUCUUGACUGGAAUCGUUUUGCUCAGAACCAUUUAGACCCAAGGAGCAGACCCUCCGAAAGAAAGCUGACUCUAGGGCACUGCCUGUUCCCCUAUGCUCAUUUAUUUGGUCCGGACCAAACCACCACUUGCCUUUCAAAUCUAGCCGGAACACAGCAGCCAAUAGGGCAGGGGGCGGGGGCUCUGUAGCUAAAACGGAAGAGGUGUUUGGGGACUCGAUGGCGCGCGGCUUCCGGGGGGCACCACAGAUCCGGGCCUGGAUGUGUAUCGCUAUACAUCUUUGGCCUUGCAAACUCAAGCUCAUUACCUGUCAUUUCACGAAGCUUCUACCUGCUCGAACAUUGAUUCAAAAGUGGGGCAAGGGGUGUUGAUACAUACACAUACAAUUUCUGUGUUAAUAAACAUGGUUCGAACUUUAGCUUUUAAAAAUUACGGUAAAGCUAUAACUCACUGGUGAAUUGCUUAAUGUUCAAGGAUGUGGGUUCGAUUCUCACGCACUAC